rnacentral:misc_RNA from 1 species
CCAGAAUAGAAUGAGUAAACUGUCAUGGCGGUGUGACAGUCUUACCUUGUUCAGUCGUUUCAUUCACACGUCUAAAGAAAUUUCAAUUAAUAUUUAUAAUUUUUCUCUAUUUCGUGUCACAAAACAUGGAUAAUCGUUUCGAACUAGUGAGUGAUGAACAGGUGUAUGAAAUCCUCCUGGUCUGUGGUAAACUUAAACGAAAGAGAAAGGUGAAAGUCAAUUGUCUGACACCAGAAUAUAGGCAAAAAAUGAAAAGAAUUGCUGUUAAAGAACUACAUCAGUGGAUGUCUAACGGAGUUUCAGAAAGUUUUAUGACGCAUUUGAAAGAAUUGUCCUCAACAUUGCCUGAACUGUUUGCAUUAAAGCAAUCAUUUACUCCUGCUAUGGAAAUCUCGACAGCGAAUAAAGAAAUUAGUAAACAACCUUCAUUCGACCAUUUGGAAGUUGAUAUGCUGAAAGAUUUGAUAGAGAAUAACUCUGACAUGAGAACAGAUCCUGAACCAGAAUAUUGCAUAGUUAAAACAUCUUUACAUGUGCAUCAAGCCGAAAAAAGUGUGGAUUUCUUAACGUCAGAUGUCAUAAUGUCAGAUGACAACCAACAAUUGAAUGAUGCAGAUUAUGAUGGAUUUCAAGGGACGACUGUUUUAGAUGUGACAGACAGUUCCUCACUGAGUAGCAACAUAUUAUCUUUCACUCGCAUUCUCCAACAUUGGGCCGCUAGCACUAAUCAAAAGAAAAGCUACCUUACGUACCUGCUUCAGUUGCUAAAAGAACACAAACCCCUCCUAGAUUUUGACACACUUCCAGCUUCUGGUAAUCAACUUAUGUUUAUUGACGGGCGCGAUAUGCCCCAGCCAUUUGCAACAAGUGAAAAUACUACAAGCAAGAAAUAUCCACUACCUCCAGUUAUUGAUUUAAACAUUAACGGCAAUGGAAGAUACUGUCAUUUCGGUCUAGAAAAUGCACUUUCUGGAAUCUCACCAGGAUCAUACUUCCACAAUUCCGACUUAUUGCAGUACGCGACCAUAUUCAAAACUAAUCCGGAAUGCAUACCAAUUUGUAUUAGAAAAAAGGUUGAACAACUUGAUGGAGAAGCAGUAAUGGAAGAAGCUAGGAGAAUUCUGAGAGGCGAAGGUGCAGUACCUGAUACUCAGCAGUCUUCCAUGAAUAUUCCUCAUUUUGAAGCAGACAUAACUGCAGAUGGUGUACAACUUUUCAACAACUCCGAGAAAGCAGAAUGCAUUCCAAUUUGCAUUGUGGUUCAUUCAGACACUCUAAAGGAAAACCAGACAUCAACGAGUUCUUAUCUCCUGUUUUAGAAGAGUUAAUCAGACUGGAUCCAAACAAUCACGAUGAAUUGAUCACCAGGGGUCGUCAAUUCACAGUGUCGCUUCGAUGUGUAAUUGCUGAUUGGCCCAUGCGCUCUUAUUUAAAAAGGAUAAAAGGCCAUUCAGGAUACUGGAGCUGUGAGAGAUGUGUGCAAAAGGGUGUUUCGUGUGACAUUAACUCUAGUAGAAACGAGGAUUUCCUGACAUAUUGCCAGUCCGACAACUGCCUUGAUGAACACAUCAACAGUCUUCACGAUCUCAGCCCGCUCCAUAAGUUGAAUUUCCCCAUGGUCAGCGGUUUCGUUUUGGAACCCAUGCAUACGUUUUAU